GGGGUUGUUUAGACUCGACAGGGCGUACUUUCAAAAUAGGCAAGCCGAUCUUGAGAACAUGAUCGUAAAAAUCGUUCUCACGAUGAUAAAUGCAAACUUCAUCACCAAGGCAAAGAAUGCGAUCGCGCAAGCUUUCGCACCAACUUUCGCUCUUGCUCUCGCCUAAUUGUCCUUCGCUCUUCGGGGCAAAGAAACAUUGGCGUUGAGCCAUCAGAAUCCUGAUUCUCGGUAGGGAACCUCUGGUGUCAUAUAAUCGAGACGGCCGAAGAAUUUCUUUUUCUUUCUUCUUCCCAGCCGUAUUGCGAAAGAAAUGAAUGAAAGAAGAUUUUGUCUGCUUUUUACUUCUUUCAUUACACAAAGCACUCUAAGCUUGUAGAAUAUUUUGGGAAAAUGUUUCUGGACAUGGGUGCAAUUCCCAUCAACUCCACUU
rnacentral:tmRNA from 1 species